UCUCCGUUGGUGAACCAGCGGAGGGAUCAUUGCAGAGUUUUCACAACUCCCAACCCUUGCGAACCGUACCCAUUCUGUUCUCGUUGCUUCCGGCGGGGGGGACGGGGGGGCCCGAAACGGCCUCCCCGCCCCGCCCGCCGGGGGCGGCACGCCCUACGAACCUUUAUAUCUCAACCAACAGAAACCGUCUGAGAAAACAAACAAAAUAAUCAAAACUUUCAACAACGGAUCUCUUGGCUCUG
rnacentral:misc_RNA from 1 species